GAUGAAGAACGUAGCGAAAUGCGAUAAGUAAUGUGAAUUGCAGAAUCCAGUGAAUCAUCGAAUCUUUGAACGCAUAUUGCGCCCGCCAGCAUUCUGGCGGGCAUGCCUGUUCGAGCGUCAUUUCAACCCUCGACCUCCCUUUGGGGAAGUCGGCGUUGGGGACCGGCAGCACACCGCCGGCCCUGAAAUGGAGUGGCGGCCCGUCCGCGGCGACCUCUGCGUAGUAAACCAACUCGCACCGGAACCCCGACGUGGCCACGCCGUAAAACACCCAACUUCUGAACGUUGACCUCGAAUCAGGUAGGACUACCCGCUGAACUUAAGCAUAUCAAUAGCGGAGGA
rnacentral:misc_RNA from 1 species